AUUGAACGCUGGCGGCAGGCCUAACACAUGAAAGUCGAACGAGUGGCGGACGGGUGAGUAAUGUCUGGGAAACUGGCCGAUGGAGGGGGAUAACUACUGGAAACGGUAGCUAAUACCGCAUACCAUCGGAUGUGCCAAGAGGGGAUUAGCUAGUAGGUGGGGUAACGGCUCACCUAGGCGACGAUCCCUAGCUGGUCUAAACAAAUGACCAGCCCCACUGGAACUGAUACACGGUCAUUCCUCCUACGGGCGGCAGCCGUGGGGCCUCUUGCCCGCUGUGCUCAAGCCUACUGCCGCCAUGCCGCGUGUAUGACGACGGCCUUCGAAUUGUCACGUACUUUCAGCGAGGAGGCGUUACUCGCAGAAGAAGCACCGGCUAACUCCGUGCCAUCAGCCGCGGUAAUUC
rnacentral:rRNA from 1 species